AAAAACAUGUCUUUUUGAUUAUAAUUUAAGGUCUAAUCUGCUCAAUGAGGGUUUAAAUUGCCGCGGUAUUUUGACCGUGCAAAGGUAGCAUAAUAAUUAGUUUUUUUAUUGAAAGCUGGAAUGAAUGAUUGGACGAGGGAGCAGCUGUCUCUGGAAAAUUUAUUUUUGAAUUUAACUUUUGAGUAAAAAGGCUCAAAUUUAAUUUAAAGACGAGAAGACCCUAUAGAGUUUAAUAUUUUUAUUUAAUAAGAUGUUUUUGGGCUUAAAUUUUCUUAUUAGAUUUAUUAUUUAGUUGGGGUGACUUAAAGAUUAAAUUAACUCUUUAAAGUUUUAAUCAUUGAUAUGUGAAUUGUGAAUCUAGUUUUUCUAAAUAUAAGAUAAAUUACCUUAGGGAUAACAGCGUAAUUUUUUUUUAGAGUUCUUAUUGUAAAAAAAGUUUGCGACCUCGAUGUUGGAUUAAAAUUAAUUUUUGGUGCAGAAGCUAAAAAUAUAGGUCUGUUCGACCUUUAAAUUUUUACAUGAUCUGA
rnacentral:rRNA from 1 species